rnacentral:rRNA from 1 species
GACGGAGGAUGCAAGCGUUAUCCGGAAUGAUUGGGCGUAAAGCGUCCGCAGGUGGCAGUUCAAGUCUGCUGUCAAAGACCGGGGCUUAACUUCGGAAAGGCAGUGGAAACUGAACAGCUAGAGUAUGGUAGGGGCAGAGGGAAUUCCUGGUGUAGCGGUGAAAUGCGUAGAGAUCAGGAGGAACACCGGUGGCGAAGGCGGAUCUCUGGGCCGAUACUGACGCUGAGGAGCGAAAGCGUGGGGAGCGAACAGG